ACACCUUAUUUGAGGCCAAAAGAGACCCAAACUUGUCCCCAAAAGCUUGGAAAUAAAUAGAGGAAUUAGCCUAGGAGUGUUUGCUCAUUUAAAACAAUCAAAAUGAGGCAUAAAAGAGAGUUUACGGCCCAAGCACAUGCUUAGGCCGUAAACACCUCUUAAACUUGUCAAAAUGCCCCAAACACACUCCCAAACCACCCUUAGGCUUAACACAUGAUUUAGGGGCUUGCUAUUUCGGGUUUAGUACAAUUAAACAAAAUGAAAUGAUGGGACAAAAGGAGUUUACGGCCCAGACAUGUGUCAAGGCCGUAAACACCUUCAAACAUGCCAAAAUGUUGGUUUUUGUUCCCCAAAUGGCCUUAGACUAUUACUAUAAAAUGCUAGGAAUGUAUUAAGGGCUUAAAACUUCACUCAACUCAUGGCAUAGGAGUUCACGGCCGUGAACUCCCUUAGGGAUGGUUCAUGGGCCGUAAACUCCCUAAUGAAGCCCUUAGAAGCCUUAAACUCAUUCAUGCCUUUUAGAUUUGGACCUAGAAUAAUUCCACAAGCAAGUUAAGGCCUUAAAACACCCUAGAAACCACUCACCAUGAGUUUACGGCCGUAAACUCAUGGUAGUUGUCCCAGGGCCGUAAAAUCUAAGUAUAGAGUUUACUCUUGGAGGGUAAACUCCAUUCCUAAGCCAUUUGAGCCCUUAGUUGUUAUCCGGGACACCCCAAACACUUAACCAAAGUGUUUUCCGCUCCUUUGAGUGCGUAUACGUGUUUAAUUAGUAUUAAAUAUACUAAUUGUAUGUGAACAUAUGUUAUCAUAUGUUAAAUAGGUCAUUGAGUGUGUUCGAGUCUUUGCUUGACACCGAGCACCCAACCGGCACCUUCGUCGGAUCCACUUACGCCAGGUGAGUUCAUACCCCUGAAUGAACCUUUUAAAUGUUUUUAUACGUUUUAUAGGGGGGAAUACAAGUUAAACAUGUCAGUUAUCAUAUCAAUCACAUGUGAUUGAUAACCCGCAUGCACAAGGAUUUACCACACUGUAAACUGUUUUACCAAGUAGGAUACUAUAAAUGGUUUUCCAAAAGGUUUUCACUUGUUCAAAACUCUUACUUAUACUGUUUUAUCAAAGUUCAUUUUAAACUGGUUUAUGAAAAGUUUCCAAAGAAUUUCUAAAGGUUUUCAAACUUAUUUUACCAAAGAACACCAAGUUGUGAUUUUCUCAAGUAUAAAGGUUUUCUUCCAUGUUUUGAUACUCCCUCUUAGUUUAAACUCCUACUUGAUAACGCUUUCACUUCGUGAUGCGUUUAUACUUGUUAUUGCCUCUAUUUCGCUUAUACCUGUAGUCGCUUAUACCUGUUAGACGCUCUUUCUUCACCUGUUGUCGCUUCCACUUCGUGAUACACUUAUAUUCUGUACGCUUAUACUUCACGAUUCGGUUAUUCCACAUUGUACGCUUAUACUUCACGAUUCGGUUAUUCCACAUUGUACGCUUAUACUUCACGAUUCGGUUAUUCCACACUGUACGCUUAUACUUCACGAUUCGGUUAUUCCACACUGUACGCUUAUACUUCACGAUUCGGUUAUUCCACAUUGUACACUUAUACUUCACGAUUCGGUUAUUCCACAUUGUACACUUAUACUUCACGAUUCGGUUAUUCCACACUGUACGCUUAUACUUCACGAUUCGGUUAUUCCACACGAUUUGGUUAUACUUCACGAUAUGUUUCCACUUGUUACACACUCAAACGUAGUUAGAUGUAUGUCUGUGCUUGUAUAGAUGCAUAUAAAUAAUGAUUGAAGGACUUAGGAAGGCUUGUCCGCCCUAUUUCCUUUUCUUCGUUGAGAUGUGGUCUGGUGGGAUCGGAUGUCCGUCCGAAGGUCGUUUGAUUCAUUAGUUAUAUAUUAUGUAUACGAGCAUAGACAUAUAGGUUUACUCUAGUCAGUUCAGUUAUGAGUCUCUACCUCUAGUUCAACACUUAUAUUGGAAACCCACUACCCACUAUUUGGGAUGCAUCUUCGGGACACGGCCUUCUCCGUCGUCUAGUUGGUAACCAGAGUCUCCUGUAGGGAGAGCGGACAUUGUGUGUAUAGAUCUAUACGGGAUUGACACCCCCGCACCCUGACUGCUAGCUACAGUCCACGGCCUACCAAGCCAAGGGGUGACAAAUGUCACAUUUUAUAGACGCUUGUAGGGCGUCAGGUACUCUAGUGUCGGUUAGUAUGGUUACGAGUAUCCCAGGUUACCUUAUAAUUCAUGGCCUUAAGGUAACGGUAUUUCACCAGCAAUUUACACUGUAUGCUGGAAACCCACUCUCAGAGUCACACUGUUUUUAGACCUUGCUAGCUGUAUCUUUCAUUUGAUACUGUCUGCGGUCUGUAUUCUCUGUUUUAGACCUUACUAGCUGUAUCUUUCAUUUGAUACUGUCUGGGGUCUGUAUCCUCUGUUUUUAGACCUUGCUAGCCGUACCUUUCAUUUGGUACCGUCUGGGGUCUGUGUCUCUCUUUGUUAGACUGAGCCAGGCGUGUCGUUUGUUCGAUACUCUCCUGGAGUCUAUGAUUCCUUUUGCCUUAGUCAGCAGUCCUCACUGCUGAGGCAUAUGUUAUUUUCCCUGAUUUCUCUUGCUUUCUUUAAUAAUCAAAUUCUGUAUUUUGAUAAUGAUAGCGAUUAAGGAAAAACUACUUUUUACCACAUAACUCCGUCCAGUCUUGGUAGAAGACUGCUUUUAUUAAAGAAAAUAUAGGAUUUUCUGGAAAAGACACUAAUGUAAUCGAUACAUUGAAAACACCACUUUUAUUAAAGUUAUUUGAAUAAAAUGCCACUAAAUACUUAUGAACUCACCAGCAUUUGUAAAAAUGCUGAUACUCGCUUUUCAAAUAACUUGUAUUCUCAGGUCAGCAUUAGACAGGUACAUCCCCGGAGCUGUUGAUGAAGAUAGCUUAGUACCAUGCUGUACUUAUUAUAUUUACUUGUAUUACUUUGAUAUAUUGUAAUGUAAAUCAUGUAAAACUAUUACUAUUAAUGCAAUGUUUUGUUGUACUUUGAUUACUAUAAUGCAUGUGUUGUGAUACUUGACAUGACGUCAUCCACCCCAGAACGUUUCCGCCGUUCCGGUUUUGGGGUGUGACAGAUUGGUAUCAGAGCAUUGUUUAUAGUGAGCUAAGUAUAUCAAUUCAUAAAAGAUAUACAGCCUAUAAAUACAAAAGGGAUAAAACAAUCUGACCAAGAGUUAUACUUUAAAAUAUAACCAUAUUUUACCAAAGUAUAAGAACAUCCAGAAUCUAAACACUCGAACACAAGUAUCACAAGAAGAACAAUAAUAAAAGUCUUCGGAUGUUGAGCAUUACCGUCAAACCUGGGCAGUUAUGUAAUCGUAAGCUGGAAUAAAUGUAACCUGAUCAACUACAUUUAUUCGAGAUGCGAUGAACAUGUGCCUGGGAGUGAUAGUGGUGUACAAUAGGUCUGAAACUUACCAACUAGGAAUGCUAGAGCCAAACAUAAAGUUUAAAAUACUAUAGGAGUAUUUUGGAACACUAAAAGACUUACAUUAAUCCCAGAAUUUUAUUCAGAAGAUAAGAAACAAACAAGAAAUUAAAAUACCAUAGGGGUAUUUUAGAAUCCAUAACCAACCUUGUGUGAGAACUAAAAAGAUCCUUAUUGAUAUACCUACAACUACAGAGGGUAUACUUCCGAGGUUAUAUAUAAUAAGGAUCCCAUAGGCUAAGAAUGUGUGGUUUCGCUCUACUUCCUUUUCCUCGUUGGGAUGUGGAUAUAGAGUAGUAUCACAUAUUCGAAGGCCUAUCGGAUCUAAGCUAUAUAUGAUUUGUAUACCCUGUGUAAUCAUAGCAGGACUCAAUAUGGAUCACUCAGUGAAAUGUUAAUAAUCUUUUAGGAUUCUUUAGACAUUUCCAUUCUCGCACGAACCCUGUAGAAAACCCUAUCCACUUCAGUGCUUGACAGAAGAGCUGAUUCCGACCCCGAAGAAGUUCAUUGAGAAGACUUCAUGUUCGGAAAUAAAUGAACUGGGUUGAGACUAUUGAAUUCACCAAGUGCCUAUAUCUUUUUAGGGACAUCGGUGAGAAAUUCGCCUAAACUUCCGAGAUUCCCAGUCAUCCAUCAUGAAGUGAUGACACCCGGAGUCGGAUUCGGAAGUGAGGCGGGGUAGAAAUUCAAUAUGUCUUCACAAGAGAAGAACCCUAGGUAACUACCCGAAGGAAACCAACGCCGAUUCCAGUCAAAGCUACGAGGUAGACAGAGGGAGCCAGUACAUAGAACCCGAGAAUUGUCUUUUCCUCGUGUUCGUCACGCUAAUACACCCUUAAAAUAAUACAAUAUAGUGAGUUAGUGAUUACACUACUCACGCUAUAUGUUAGGUAAAUCGUCGUUUCCCGUUGCCAGUUACACGAUUAGAGCGGAACCCCUCACCUCUAUUGAGAAUAUUUAGCCAUAAGCCUUCAUAAGCCUCUCUUUCCGUGGUUUCGUUCCGAACUGUUCUCAAAUCUCUCCAUGCCGGAGAGUGAAACCUUUCCCAUUAUAAAGGUAACUUAGUAGGAACGACUCCCAUCUUAUGGCCUUUCCAAUACUCAUACUCCUACCUUGAAUACCAGGACUACAUCAUAGGGAUGUAGGUCGACACUCAGACAACCAGUACCCGAGGCACGGGAAACAUUUAUGCCUAUUACAGUCAGGACAGAUAUGUACAGGGUUAGCCAUCGUCUCUCAUUAUCUUGUAUUCCUUUCCGUGUAGGAGAAACCAUGACACCAAAGAAGCGUAACCAGUCCACAAGCAAGAAACCUACUCUCUUAUGCGAUGAAGCUACGUUCCAAGCUACAAUCUCUGCAGCCGUAGCAGCUGUCAUGGCUCACCUGAAUGCUAACAACGCCAAUGUUAGUAAGAGCCCCAUCAGAAGUUCCGAUCCUAGUAGUGGACAGCAGCAACCAACCUCUGCAUACCGAGCCGCCCAAGAACCUCACUCAAACCCACUGAAGAGAAAGAUCAAGAUCGAGGAGGGAAGUACCUCGGCUCAAGGACCUUCCGAAGAGCAAUGAGCUGAAGCAGUCAAUACCCCUGUCAAUCCUUCCCUCCUGACUUCAAGAAGACCAUACCUAGGAAACCUCUCCCACUGCAGUAAGUGCAGCUACCAUCAUCAUGGUGUCUGCCGGGAGCUCUAUUGUGCUAGGUGCCACAUGUUGGGGCAUACUGCUCGCAUCUGCAGAACCCCGGUUGAGUUCAUUACAUCAACCACCAAUGUGGCGACCCGUACAGUUUGCCACCUAUGUGGUGAAGUGGGGCACUUCAAGAAGGACUGCCCAACCGAAGGAAAGAAAAAGACACAGGAGGAGUCUAACUCUAAUGCUUAGGGAGAAGCAUCAAGGAACCUAGCAGAUUUUGGUACGUCUCUCGAUCUCGGAUAACUAACGCAAAAUAUUAAUAGGCUGAUUCAAAUGUAAAUACUUCCCCAAUAAGGCGAAAGUCACAACACUGUUAUAAAAUUUAAAAAUUCAUUAGGUAAAACUAUAAUGGCUAAACAUAUACGUUACGGUCAUGUAUAGCUAAGAUGGAUAGACCUAGAGUGAGUGAAUGCCGCCUCAUUUCCUGUUCCUCGUUUGGUUGUGGAUUUAGGGCGGAGUCGCUCAGUCAACAGUCCUCCCCACCUUAACUAUACAUGACUAGUAUAUGUUAGGCGAUUAUAGAAAUNAUGAAAAGGUACUCUAUUCGGAAACACUUAGGACUCUCUAUAGUUCCGCGUCGACUCUAUCGGUCCAAGUAUCCGCGACAGUGAUAUACAGGACGAAACCCGAGACGCCUAGAACUUGUGUGCCUGUUCGGCGCAUGACUCUAUUGACCCUCACUUUAUGUCAUGUCGAAGUAUGCCAACUUCGACGACUCUAUCUAUCAUGGUUUGACGUAGUUCAACCAUAUGUACAUCCUUAGUGCUGUGUAAAAAGAACUUUCUCCGUAGCCAUGUCGGCAAAUAAAGGUUCUUCCGAACCUAAAAAAAAUAAAAAUAAUAAAGACUAAUGCGAUCCGUCGGUCGUCAUUUUUAUUUCAAACCUUUUGAAGUACCCAGGAGAGGGGUACCGCGCACUGUUAACCAACCCUCCUUAGACAGAUAGAAACCGAAGCGAAAGGCACUGCAUGCAUUCCAGAAGAUGAUAACCACCUGAAGCAUACCUAGUAGAUUCCUUAGAAAGACCCUUCAUCAUAUCCCAUGGAACGGGAGCUAGAGUCAAGAGAACCCCUACAUAUUGAGCUACUAUAAUGACUACAAAUCCGAAGUUGUUGUCAUUCCGCUUGAGCCAACAUAGUAGCUAACACCCUCGGUUGGUAAAGAAAUCCGAGUCAUAAGAGUCAAGGACACUGAUUACGACCAUCCAUUCACGCUUGAUCCCCCGAAUUAAGCAUCACAGCGAAUAUCCCGGAAAUCCGAGAGCUGCAAUAAAUUAAACUUUGAGAAGAGUGGAUGAGAAGACUAAAGUUCCGAGUGAUGGGAACCUAUACUCACCAGAUCUGACCUAGACCGAGAAAACUCAGAACCUUCGGAAGAGUAGUUGCUGAAGAUGUUCGCACUACUCAGGAACUUCGUCCACCCCGUUACAGACAAAUAGUGCCUAGGAUCCUCUGCCCUCUCGCAUGGAGGAAAUCGUCGUCGCCCCGUAGACGAUAGACUUCAUUCUCCGAAGUAAACACUAGAAUACCGAGAACCACAGGAUAACCUCCGCAGCCAGGAAUACUUGUUCAAAGUGCGAAAGUAGUGCGAUGAGCCUCAUGACCCAGAUCCCGAAGAGAUUAUAGACUUGACACCAGCCUUGGUGUUAGUCGAGGGGUUAUACAGGAGCAUGCGCUUUUCGCACUAGAAUAAACCAACGUCUUAGAGAUUCAAUGGACUACUAGGUGUUCCACGAAUACUAUCUCGCGCAGAAAUAGUAGAACCACCUCCCGAGAUAGUCCAACACUCGUUUGGUGAAACCCUGUCUCCCCGACCCUAAGGGUUUCCAUGUCUCAAGAAUCGUUAGUGCAGGUUCAUUUUGCACGAGCUUGAGAUAGACACUCUACAUCAAACAGAAAACCAUAGUCACACAACCCAUUCGAUGACCUAGAAAGUCUCUAAAAGCCAAUUGACGGGAAAAACGCAAAACCAAAGACAACCCGAGCUUCCUAAGAACCAACCUGAAGGACUACACUACCAGUACGGGAAAGAACGUUAGGAACUUCGGAAUGGCGAUCACGCCAGUGAUGAUCUUACCAUAGAAGUACACUAUGUUCUAAGUACUGAGAAGCUCUACCCUUCCGUGAGCUUAGGACCAUCUGAGAAUCCUCAUAGAGAUUUGGUCCAACCCUCGUCAGACCACUACUUUCGAAUAUUCCACAAGCUUCACACCUUGAUCGAUCCCCUUCUUAGACUUGAUAUGCGAUUACCCGACGUCACUCUUCGUAUCCCAAUCAUCUUGAUAGAGAUCAUUGAGAACACUAACUUCAUAGAUACACCAGUCGGAACCCACUAGCUACCGAGGCGGAAUCCACAUCCCGUAGGUGAAGGUUGGUUGAGAUGACAAACACAGACCAAAGAUUCACAGGGGAAUGUGAGGACAACCAGAAUAAGGAGUAUCCUCCUGCCUCUACGUGGUCAUUCAUACCUACUUCCUUGCCUAGACCUGAAUUUCGGGACGAAAUUCCCUCUAACAGGGGGAUGAUGUGACAACCCAAAGUUAUUCCGUUACAUUACCCCGUUACCGUUAACGGAAUAUUCCACUGUAUAAAAGUUUUGUUAAUUAGAGGUCGUCAAAGUUAGUUUUUAUUAUUACGACCACUAAAUCGGAUGCGACCAAAAGCCCCCGUAUAACGACAGUAUCGGGUAGAAUUCCACUAAGCUCCAACUCCCACCCAUAUAUAAGGGGGAGUAAACCCCAUUUCAACCUUUUUCACCCUCUCUCUCUAGACUCGUUUUCGACCCGAAUCCGCAACCAAACGCUUCCAAAUCGUAAGUCUGCUUACCUUAGCUUGUUCUAAACAUUAUGACUCGUGAUUAUAGCUUAAAAUUCGACCAUUUAAGCUGUUGAAAAGGAGUUCACGGCCUAAGAUCCUCCUUAGGCCGUAAACACCUUAUUUGAUGCCAAAAGAGACCCAAACUUGUCCCCAAAAGCUUGGAAAUAAAUAGAGGAAUUAGCCUAGGAGUGUUUGCUCAUUUAAAACAAUCAAAAUGAGGCAUAAAAGAGAGUUUACGGCCCAAGAACAUGCUUAGGCCGUAAACACCUCUUAAACUUGUCAAAAUGCCCCAAACACACUCCCAAACCACCCUUAGGCUUAACACAUGAUUUAGGGGCUUGCUAUUUCGGGUUUAGUACAAUUAAACAAAAUG
rnacentral:lncRNA from 1 species